AACGCACAUUGCGCCCUCUGGUAUUCCGGGGGGCAUGCCUGUUCGAGCGUCAUUAUAACCACUCAAGCUCUCGCUUGGUAUUGGGGUUCGCGGUUUCGCGGCCCCUAAAAUCAGUGGCGGUGCCUAUCGGCUCUACGCGUAGUAAUACUCCUCGCGAUUGAGUCCGGUAGGUCUACUUGCCAACAACCUGUAAUUUUUUAAGGUUGACCUCGGAUCAGGUAGGGAUACCCGCUGAACUUAA
rnacentral:misc_RNA from 1 species